UGCGCAGACGGUUUGUUAAGUCACUUGUUAAAUUCUUCGGCCUAACUGAAGGUGUGCGAGUGAUACUGGCGAACUAGAGGGUGGAAGAGAGAAGUGGAAUUCUUGGAGUAGCGGUAAAAUGCGUAGAUCUCGAGAGGAACACCAAUGGCGAAGGCAGCUUCUUGGUCCAUUCCUGACGUUCAUGCACGAAAGCGUGGGGAGCAAACA
rnacentral:rRNA from 1 species